rnacentral:lncRNA from 1 species
GAAUUUUAAACAUAGAAAUUGAAAAGGUUCGAAUGACUCUUAAUUGGCUAUUUUAUUCAAACCGUAGAACUAAAUUUAGAGAGUAUUUUAAAAAAUGUGAUGAAUAUGGCCUUAGAGAAAGAAAUGUUCCUAAACCUUGCCCGACCAGGUGAAAUUGUAUGUACGAAAGUUUAGUAGUUGCGGUAUGAAUAUAGAAACUCAAUUAAUGCAACGUUUAAUUCUCGGGUAGGUGGUGAGGAUGAUGAUGAAUUGCCCGACUAGGUGGAAUUGUAUGUACGAAAGUUUAGUAGUUACGUAUGAAUAUAGAAACCCAAUUAUGCAUCAGUCUUUCGCUACUCGUGUGACCCCGCCUCAUGGCUUUCAGAAGGGCCAGUUUAAUUCUCGGGUAGGUGGUGAGGAUGAUGAUGAAAUGCUUACUACCCAAGAUUGGAC